CAAAAGCAGGCGAAAAUGCUUCCAAGAAACCGCGCGUGGAAUCACGGUCAUCUUGCCCACCCUUCAAGGUGAGGAAAGAGAAGGUAGGAGACAGAAUAGCAGCACUACAGCAGUUGGUUUCACCAUUUGGGAAGACAGAUACAGCAUCUGUAUUAAUGGAGGCAAUUGGAU